rnacentral:misc_RNA from 1 species
AGAAGCUUCAGAUCUCUUAAUUUUACGCUUAGGAAUCUGGUAUAAAUGUUCCUUGGAAAUGAAAUUCCCUAGUGGUUUUGAAAUUGGUUUAAAACUCAUGUCAAUUGUAGCAUUGGGAUCUCAAGAAUUAAAUGUUGCGGAUGAUAAUAUUAAUAUGGGUUUUGUUGUCUGUGAUGAGUUUGAUAGAAUUCAAUUGGGUGAUCUUGCAAUUAUUGGUAUUUUUUUCACAUCUGAAAAAUGAAUGCUGUGUUUUAGUUUGAUAAUCAAUGCUGACAUGGGAGCAAGAUAUUAAUCUUUAUGCACCAAAUGCUGUUAUUUUAAUUUUAUGCUUACACAUGACCUGCAAGGCCCUGAGCACAUUGAUAUAUUCAGAGAGAUGCAUUUAUGGACAGAGUGAUAUGUUCCUGGAAUAGCUGUGUGAUUUUAACUUUAGACCUAUCUAGCUUGAUAAAAGUGUACUGUCUGUUAUUUAUGCUUAUUUCAAAACUUUCUGAAGGAGAUUUUUCCCCCUUGGUUUAUAGCAUUAAGUCUCUGGACGAAAUGAUACUGAUGC